rnacentral:rRNA from 1 species
UGCUUAACACAAGCAAGUCGACUGGAAUUCUUCUUCGGAAGAUAGUACGGUGGCGGACGGGUGAGUAACGCGUAAAGAAUUUGCCCUUCAGACUGGGACAACUAAUCGAAAGGUUAGCUAAUACCGGAUAUUAUGAGACCUUGGCAUCAAGGACUUAUGAAAGCUAUAUGCGCUGGAGGAGAACUUUGCGUUCCAUUAGCUAGUUGGUAGGGUAAUGGCCUACCAAGGCGACGAUGGAUAGCCGGCCUGAGAGGGUGAACGGCCACAAGGGGACUGAGACACGGCCCUUACUCCUACGGGAGGCAGCAGUGGGGAAUAUUGGACAAUGGACCAAAAGUCUGAUCCAGCAAUUCUGUGUGCACGAUGAAGGUCUUCGGAUUGUAAAGUGCUUUCAGGUGGGAAGAAGAAAGUGACGGUACCACCAGAAGAAGCGACGGCUAAAUACGUGCCAGCAGCCGCGGUAAUACGUAUGUCGCAAGCGUUAUCCGGAAUUAUUGGGCGUAAAGCGAGUCUAGGCGGCUUGUUAAGUCAG